UACAGAGGGUGCAAGCGUUGUUCGGAAUUAUUGGGCGUAAAGAGCGUGUAGGCGGCCACACAGGUCUGCUGUGAAAACUCGAGGCUCAACCUCGAGCUGUCGGUGGAAACCGUGUGGCUAGAGUCCGGAAGAGGAGAGUGGAAUUCCCGGUGUAGCGGUGAAAUGCGCAGAUAUCGGGAAGAACACCCGUGGCGAAGGCGGCUCUCUGGGACGGUACUGACGCUGAGACGCGAAAGCGUGGGGAGCGAACAGG
rnacentral:rRNA from 1 species